rnacentral:rRNA from 1 species
UGGGGAAUAUUGGACAAUGGGGGGCAACCCUGAUCCAGCAAUGCCGCGUGUGUGAAGAAGGUCUUCGGAUUGUAAAGCACUUUCGACGGGGACGAUGAUGACGGUACCCGUAGAAGAAGCCCCGGCUAACUUCGUGCCAGCAGCCGCGGUAAUACGAAGGGGGCUAGCGUUGCUCGGAAUGACUGGGCGUAAAGGGCGUGUAGGCGGUUUACACAGUCAGAUGUGAAAUCCCCGGGCUUAACCUGGGAGCUGCAUUUGAUACGUGUAGACUAGAGUGUGAGAGAGGGUUGUGGAAUUCCCAGUGUAGAGGUGAAAUUCGUAGAUAU